UACGUAGGUGGCAGGCGUUGUCCGGAUUUACUGGGCGUAAAGAGCGCGCAGGCGGUCGUUCAAGUCGCGUGUGAAAGCCCCCGGCUCAACUGGGGAGGGUCACGCGAUACUGAUCGACUCGAAGGCAGGAGAGGGUAGUGGAAUUCCCGGUGUAGUGGUGAAAUGCGUAGAUAUCGGGAGGAACACCAGUGGCGAAGGCGACUACCUGGCCUGUUUCUUGACGCUGAGGCGCGAAAGCUAGGGGAGCAAACGGG
rnacentral:rRNA from 1 species